GAGUUUGAUCGUGGCUCAGGAUGAACGCUGGCGGCGUGCCUAACACAUGCGAGUCGAACGGAGUCCAUAUUGAAACCUAGUGAUGUAUGGAUUAGUGGCGGACGGGUGAGUAACGCGUGGAUAACCUGCCGUAUACAGGGGGAUAACGACUUAGAAAUAGGUAGCUAAUACCGCCAUAAGCGCACGGUUCCGCAUGGAACUAGUGUGUAAAAACUUCGGUGGUAUACGAUGGAUCCGCGUCUGAUU
rnacentral:rRNA from 1 species